rnacentral:ncRNA from 1 species
GCAAAGAUAAAAACGCAACGCAUACUCAUUCGUAUGCCAGAGCCGGUAGGUAGCCCGGCCGUCCUGUCUGCACAGGGUAAGUAACCUGCCCCUCCGGGUUGUCCGUUCUUUGCGGAAU